rnacentral:rRNA from 1 species
UACGUAGGGUGCGAGCGUUGUCCGGAAUUAUUGGGCGUAAAGGGCUCGUAGGCGGUCUGUCGCGUCGGCUGUGAAAACCCGGAGCUCAACUCCGGGCCUGCAGUCGAUACGGGCAGACUGGAGUUCGGCAGGGGAGACUGGAAUUCCUGGUGUAGCGGUGAAAUGCGCAGAUAUCAGGAAGAACACCCGUGGCGAAGGCGGCUCUCUGGAACGCAACUGACGCUGAGACGCGAAAGCGUGGGGAGCAAACAGG